CACAGAGAAUGUUGGGAAAACUCAGCAGGUCUGACAGCAUCUGUGGAGAAAGAAACCGAGUUAACAGUUUGAGUCUUUGAUACGUUCUCUGAAUGUGGGAAGCGGAGGAUAAGCCCUAUUUGAACUCCUGAUCUAUAUACAGCAGCACCACUCCGUUGAUCCUGGCUGCUGAAGGGAGAAGACUCAUGGUGUCCCAGAAUUACAGGGCAGCUCAGGCCAAAUGUAAUUAUUGUACGAGAGUUUUGCAAGGAACCCUUCUCAAAAUCACGGUUGGGAGCUGAAAUUUUGGUUUUGAGCUCCAAGACAUCGAUGACCAAUCCAAUUCCCCUCCGCCAAUUGAUCUUCUCUUCCCUAUCAACCACUCACUGAGGACCUCAGCAGUUUUCAAGCUUCAAUAUGGUGCCACAGUGAAGAAGUUAAGAGUGGCAUUGUUUUUAACCUUACUUAAGUCCAGAGCUAACUUCUGGGUGAGGAGAUGACAUAUAAACAUAGGGUUCGCAUCAACAGAACUCAUGUCAUCUUGUGCCACUGAGGUUAUCCAGGGUGGCAGCUUGUUACCAUCCUCAUCCACAUCUCGAGAUAUGGCCAAAAGUGAAAGGUGCAGAUAGCAUGACCAUUGUUCAUAUCCCCGCCUCAUACUAACACUCUCCUUCUGAAGUUGUGUUUGAGGACAGUUUCCUACACCAUUGAUGAGGAGGCACUGUCAUGUGAUUGGACACUUCCAGUUCAGCUCCUGAUCAGUGUGUACCUUAGCAGAUAGCUUAGAAUUGGCACCUAUACUGGGUGAAUAACAGAAAUGGGCUGCAACCCAACCAGAGGAAAGGAGGGACUAUAUGGAGGAAGUGCUGGAUGUCUUGAAGCACAUAAAAGUGGAUAAAUCCGCAGGAUCUGAUCAGGUGUACCCUCGAACUCUGUGGAAAACUAGGAAAGUGAUUUCUGGGCGUCUUACUGAGACAUUUGUAUCAUCGAUAGUCACAGAUGGGGUGCCAGAAAAUUAGAGAUUGGCU